rnacentral:rRNA from 1 species
GUUAAGCGACUAAGCGUACACGGUGGAUGCCCUGGCAGUCAGAGGCGAUGAAGGACGUGCUAAUCUGCGAUAAGCGUCGGUAAGGUGAUAUGAACCGUUAUAACCGGCGAUUUCCGAAUGGGGAAACCCAGUGUGUUUCGACACACUAUCAUUAACUGAAUCCAUAGGUUAAUGAGGCGAACCGGGGGAACUGAAACAUCUAAGUACCCCGAGGAAAAGAAAUCAACCGAGAUUCCCCCAGUAGCGGCGAGCGAACGGGGAGCAGCCCAGAGCCUGAAUCAGUGUGUGUGUUAGUGGAAGCGUCUGGAAAGGCGCGCGAUACAGGGUGACAGCCCCGUACACAAAAAUGCACAUGCUGUGAGCUCGAUGAGUAGGGCGGGACACGUGGUAUCCUGUCUGAAUAUGGGGGGACCAUCCUCCAAGGCUAAAUACUCCUGACUGACCGAUAGUGAACCAGUACCGUGAGGGAAAGGCGAAAAGAACCCCGGCGAGGGGAGUGAAAAAGAACCUGAAACCGUGUACGUACAAGCAGUGGGAGCCUCUUUUAUGGGGUGACUGCGUACCUUUUGUAUAAUGGGUCAGCGACUUAUAUUCUGUAGCAAGGUUAACCGAAUAGGGGAGCCGAAGGGAAACCGAGUCUUAACUGGGCGUUAAGUUGCAGGGUAUAGACCCGAAACCCGGUGAUCUAGCCAUGGGCAGGUUGAAGGUUGGGUAACACUAACUGGAGGACCGAACCGACUAAUGUUGAAAAAUUAGCGGAUGACUUGUGGCUGGGGGUGAAAGGCCAAUCAAACCGGGAGAUAGCUGGUUCUCCCCGAAAGCUAUUUAGGUAGCGCCUCGUGAAUUCAUCUCCGGGGGUAGAGCACUGUUUCGGCAAGGGGGUCAUCCCGACUUACCAACCCGAUGCAAACUGCGAAUACCGGAGAAUGUUAUCACGGGAGACACACGGCGGGUGCUAACGUCCGUCGUGAAGAGGGAAACAACCCAGACCGCCAGCUAAGGUCCCAAAGUCAUGGUUAAGUGGGAAACGAUGUGGGAAGGCCCAGACAGCCAGGAUGUUGGCUUAGAAGCAGCCAUCAUUUAAAGAAAGCGUAAUAGCUCACUGGUCGAGUCGGCCUGCGCGGAAGAUGUAACGGGGCUAAACCAUGCACCGAAGCUGCGGCAGCGACGCUUAUGCGUUGUUGGGUAGGGGAGCGUUCUGUAAGCCUGUGAAGGUGUGCUGUGAGGCAUGCUGGAGGUAUCAGAAGUGCGAAUGCUGACAUAAGUAACGAUAAAGCGGGUGAAAAGCCCGCUCGCCGGAAGACCAAGGGUUCCUGUCCAACGUUAAUCGGGGCAGGGUGAGUCGACCCCUAAGGCGAGGCCGAAAGGCGUAGUCGAUGGGAAACAGGUUAAUAUUCCUGUACUUGGUGUUACUGCGAAGGGGGGACGGAGAAGGCUAUGUUGGCCGGGCGACGGUUGUCCCGGUUUAAGCGUGUAGGCUGGUUUUCCAGGCAAAUCCGGAAAAUCAAGGCUGAGGCGUGAUGACGAGGCACUACGGUGCUGAAGCAACAAAUGCCCUGCUUCCAGGAAAAGCCUCUAAGCAUCAGGUAACAUCAAAUCGUACCCCAAACCGACACAGGUGGUCAGGUAGAGAAUACCAAGGCGCUUGAGAGAACUCGGGUGAAGGAACUAGGCAAAAUGGUGCCGUAACUUCGGGAGAAGGCACGCUGAUAUGUAGGUGAAGCGACUUGCUCGUGGAGCUGAAAUCAGUCGAAGAUACCAGCUGGCUGCAACUGUUUAUUAAAAACACAGCACUGUGCAAACACGAAAGUGGACGUAUACGGUGUGACGCCUGCCCGGUGCCGGAAGGUUAAUUGAUGGGGUCAGCGCAAGCGAAGCUCUUGAUCGAAGCCCCGGUAAACGGCGGCCGUAACUAUAACGGUCCUAAGGUAGCGAAAUUCCUUGUCGGGUAAGUUCCGACCUGCACGAAUGGCGUAAUGAUGGCCAGGCUGUCUCCACCCGAGACUCAGUGAAAUUGAACUCGCUGUGAAGAUGCAGUGUACCCGCGGCAAGACGGAAAGACCCCG